AGAGUUUGAUCCUGGCUCAGAUUGAACGCUGGCGGCAUGCCUUACACAUGCAAGUCGAACGGCAGCACGGGAGCAAUCCUGGUGGCGAGUGGCGAACGGGUGAGUAAUAUAUCGGAACGUGCCCAGUCGUGGGGGAUAACGCAGCGAAAGCUGUGCUAAUACCGCAUACGAUCCAAGGAUGAAAGCGGGGGAUCGCAAGACCUCGCGCGAUUGGAGCGGCCGAUAUCAGAUUAGCUAGUUGGUGGGGUAAAGGCUCACCAAGGCGACGAUCUGUAGCUGGUCUGAGAGGACGACCAGCCACACUGGAACUGAGACACGGUCCAGACUCCUACGGGAGGCAGCAGUGGGGAAUUUUGGACAAUGGGCGCAAGCCUGAUCCAGCAAUGCCGCGUGCAGGAUGAAGGCCUUCGGGUUAAAACUGCUUUUGUACGGAACGAAACGGUCUGCCCUAAUA
rnacentral:rRNA from 1 species